AUUGAACGCUGGCGGCAGGCCUAACACAUGCAAGUCGAGCGAGCGGCGGACGGGUGAGUAAUGUAUGGGGACUGCCCGAUAGAGGGGGAUAACUACUGGAAACGGUAGCUAAUCCCGCAUACUAUCGGGUAACCCAUAUGGGAUUAGAUCGUAGGGGAGGUAAUGGCUCACCUAGGCGACGAUCCAUAGCUGGGCUGAGAGGAUGAUCAGCCACACUGGGACUGAGACACGGCCCAGACUCCUACGGAGGCAGCAGGGGGGAAGAGUGCACAAUGGGCGAAAGCCUGAUGCAGCAAUGCCGCGUGGAUGAAGAAGGCCCUAGGGUUGUAAAGUACUUUCAGUCGGGAGGCGGUACCGACAGAAGAAGCACCGGCUAACUCCGUGCCAGCAGCCGCGGUAAUAC
rnacentral:rRNA from 1 species